ACGACCCACACCUGCCAGCAGUCAGCUGGCUAUAAGAGGCAAGACCUGGCUCGUAUGAGGGGGAGUGGAGCUGAGACCAGAGGCAGUUGCUGAUGGGCAUCAAAGACAGUAGGAGUUCCCUACCAACAGGGAAGGAUGAGGAAACUCCUGGCCAGAAGAGAGAGAACCUGAAUGCCAGAGCAGCAUUGGUCACCGUGGUAGGAGAGAAAACCUGCUUUGACUGAACAUGUACCAUUGUACUGGAGAAUUCUUCAAAACCACCAGGCAAAAUAAUGAAAAAGAAAAACCCUGAAGUAAAAAGACUCAAAGCAUUAAGAAGUCAAAGAGUGGUCGGUCACACUGAAUCUGCAAUUUUCUGGUACAUCAUUCUGCAUCAGAUGAGUAAUCCAUCGUUUGGGACCGUCUCCAAGAAUGGACCAUCUGCUCUCAGCAUGACUGUAUCCAUGAAUUCUGUAUAGAAUCUUACCACUUCCACUACAGCUUUGGGGGGGGGAAAAAUAAAGGGCUCUAAAAAUGGCAAAGCCAGUAAAUAGUGCAAACUGCUAAGCUUGGAAUGAUCACAGUGAUAUCCUUGCUGCUCCAGUAUUUUUAACUUGUAUUAGCAGCCUUCUGACAUGGAUGGCAGUGCCGCUUGGCAGAGGAAACAAGGGAUUACUGGCAACACAGAAUGAAGAUUUCACAGAGAAAAAUCAGAUCAUGAAAAAUGUUUUGUAUAUAUCUUCUUUUAAAAAUCUUCCACACGGAAGUGAUGAUUUGGAAAAAUCUGCCUAUGUACGAUAUAUGAAUUCUAGGUAAUUUUGGGAAAGCACUAUUACAGAACACCUCCAAGUGUAGUGAGUUAGGUGACGCUACCAGGAAAAAGUUGCAGAAUAAACAAAAAGUCAUUAGCUGUAAUGGCUCUGGACUUGAAGAACACAAGAUUGAUGAAAAGGAGGCAGAAGUAGAGAAUUAAAAAUAAAAUCCCAGACAGGCAUAUGAUGACAGAAGUUUUAAAAAGACAAGGGAGGAAUAAAGGCAGAGGCUCCAGUAGGAAGAGGUUGGCUUGGUUUGGUUUGUCUGCAAGUUCAAUUAAGGACCAGUGAAGCGGAUUGGAGGGGAAAGACAUAGAAAUCCAUGUUCAAGAAAAGUCGUAAAUGAGGGAACAGGGUAACUAGAAGCCUAAGAAGACAGACCCAAACUGGCUCAAGGAUGUAAAAAUAGUGAAGCAGGAUGGCAUGCAGGCAUUUCAUUGGUUUGUCUGCAUCUCUAUGUUGCUUUUGUUUUGAUGUACAUCUGAUAUGGCCUAAAGCAGUGUUUCCCUAACUUCUGGGGUUUACAUCCCAGCGCAGCAAAGCUGGCCCCUUAUGUGCCCCUACUCCAGCUGCCAAAUCUCAUUUGACACUUUUGUGCAUGUGCAACAUUUAUGCAAUUCACCCUUACACGGAGAGUUGCACCCCCCAAGUUUGGGGAAACCAUGGUCUCAAGUGGUAAAGUAAAAAGAUUUUUGAAAAGUUUGGGCAUGUAUUUGCUUCUGCUAUCACAGUCCCCUGAAGGGGCCCCAUGUAAACCAGACAGCCCACAAGGAGAGGAGAUCUGGAAGAGAAGAUGAUUAAACUGCUGGAGAAUCUGGAAUAGCUAGUACUAGCUUCAAAGGCUCGUGCAGCUGAUCACAGCGUCUGAGCUCUCGCAGGAAAGCAUGCAGAGGGUCAAUGCCUGGAGAGUUUUUAGAAAUGCAGAGCCAGAUGCGCUGUCUGAUUUGGGUCAUAGACAGGUGUGCGUUUCUACUGCUGAACAUUUCUGGGAACUCUGCAGAGGCAGAUAUCUUCCCAAGAGAGGGAUCAUACAGGCAUUCCAGUCUGUAGACAUCCCUCUCUCCUAUUCCCCAUGCCUUCUCCAGAUUGGGGUUGUCUGGUCAGGGGAAGGCUUGGACAGAAGCAGCAACUGAACUCCUUCUGAGCAUGGGACAACUCCAGCUCUAGGCAAAUGCCCCCACAUCCUCCCCAGACUGGGGUCCCACCCAAUUUGGGGACAGUGUAUGGGGGAGGCUAUAGCUUGACUCCUAGAGUGCUCAGGAAGAAUCUAGAUGCUGCUGCUCUCCACAUCUUCCCCAGAAUGGGGUCCUCCAGUUCUCAGGAAACUUGGGAAGGGGAGCGGGGGAAGAGGGACCACCAGUAGCUCAACUCCUCUCCGACUGGAAAGAGUUAAGCUGUGGGGAAAUGUCUUGCUGAUCUGGGGAGGAGUCAAGGGUACAGGUGUUCAUGCUAGCAAGAGAAACUAGCCUUGCAGGGGAGAUCUUCCAGGUAUCAGGGUGGAUGACCCUUCUCACAACUGGGGCAUAUUACCUCAGUGAGGAACUGAAUGAAUGCUCGUAUGCUGGCAAUUACUACUGUCGAACGUAACACCUGUAUGUGGCUUCAGACUCACAAAACAUAAAGCAUGCAUGUCUAUCUUUUUCAGCCCCAAAUACAGCAACCUAAUGAGCAUCCAGAGGAUUGUGGCAAUCUUAAGCCAAAACAGCAGCAAAUAUGUUUUUCCAAUUGUCUACAGAAAGAUUAGUUUAAACCAAUGCAGCAAAGCUCAUCAUUCACCGGAUUCUCCCCUCACUUAUAAAGAUUUUAGGCCAGUGUAACAGCAUAGAUUUCGAUGGAGUUACUCUUGAUUUACAACAGAGCAAGCAAGAGAUGAAUCAACCCCGAGGAAAUUCAUUUCUGUAAACUGCAUAUAAAUCACAUUUCAUGUAUUGGCAAUGUCCAGGGUACUGCAUCUCUAAAAGCUCUAUCCAUUUGAACAGUAAUGCAAUUAAAUCUGUUAUGUGAUUACCUAUUUCCCAUUUACCUAUUCAAUUUAUUUUCCUUUGCCCCAUCCACAAAUGUAUGUUAUGGUACAACACUGCUGCUUGCAACCCAGAAUGGCUUCAUGAAAUCCAAAAAAUAAGUUCAGGAGAAAACAAGUGUUCACUCUGCUUCCCAAAAGGAAUGCAGUAUAGAAUUCAAACUUUCAUCCUAAAGCUUUAAAAAAGUUUCUAGCCCAACAAACGUAUGUUUUAUAAAAGCUCCUCAGACCUUUAACUUAGUGGAAAAGGAUACAAAAAUUAUAUAUGUUCCUCCCAGGUGAAAUUUCUGCAUUCAUUUCAAUAGUGUUACAGCACUGAACUUGUUUAAUGUCCAGAAUUCUGUGGGCAAGACUUUCAGGUAUCUAAAAAGAGCCUAAUUUCUUUAAGCACUGCAUAUACACCUUCCAAAAAUCAAACCCCUUUAAGAAAUUUCAAACUGAGCAUAUUCAAGCCAUGGCACAUAAAAUUAUUUGACACUCUUAAGAAAUAUUAAAAUACUGCUCUAAAUUUUUAAGUGUCAUAUAUGGCAACAUACAAUCAGAUAAUUUCACACUUCAUGCCACAUCUUUCCCUAAACUAUGUUGGGAAGCCGUAGAUUUUUCUGAAAUAAAAACACUUUAUUCGAUACCCAAGUUCUUCAGUAGACAUUCCUGAGUCUGAAUGUUUCCUGUACUGUCUCAAUGCUACAACAUUCGCCACUACAUAUCAACCAUUAAAUAGUUGAGUGCGUGCUCUGUUUUGCAUGACCUGCUCUAGCCAGAAUUUUACCAUUUACCAUUAUGACACCACCCAACAUAUAUUCAUUAAUUCCCACUUAUAAGAUCCUGCAAUAUUUUCUCCCAUUAGUAACUUAUUGACUCUAUGCAUGAGGACAAUGCACUGAGUUAGGUACAGCAUCUUGCCCUCAUUGAGCUUCUCUCCAGUCUGUAGUCCAUGAUUUCAAUGACAAUUUUAAAUGUUAUGUUUUAAAACAACUUGCAGAGCAAAUAGCAAUGCACAGCCUUCCCCUUUCAAUAAUCUGGCUUUAUAGUUUAUCUUGAGGGAUCUGGAUUACUGCCUUGUAAAACAGUAAAAUGAUGAUAAUAUCCUUAAAGUUUCAUAGUGACUGUGCUAUCAAAAAUCAAAUAGUACUUCUGAGGUUUAAUGUUGGGGUUCUGAGGCUUGUGUGUCCACUAUCUUGUAGCCAAAAGAAAAAGUUACAGAAAAUGAAUCCUUUAAAGUCAGGACAGAGCAUGCCACUACCUCAGAAAGUGUUUUCAUUAAAAGCCAAAGAAAAUUCUCAUGCUAAUAAUUGCUAUUACUCUGACUAGUCAGUGCAAAGAUACACAUUGUUCCACCUGACUUACACAAGUUAAUAAAAAAUAUAAUAAAAUCAAGAAAAAAGUGACUUAAUGAACCCUUCCCCAAAUUACCCCAAUGUAUUAUAUCAUUUAUAGCCUGGUAGCGUGUUAUUAGUAAACAGAAAUGGACAAGAGCAAAACAGAAAGUCAGAAAAAGUGAAAAAGAUAUAACAUUACUUAAUGGCUAAUAGCAAACAUAUUGCACAGUAUACUAAGACAAAGUCCCUGUAGCAUAUACUUGAUUCAACUUCUCUUGAAUUCAAAGGGAGUUAUGCCACUUAGGGACAGGUCAGAACCUAAGAACGAAAAAAAUAUGGAAGAACCUAGCCAUGUCUGUUUAGUCUUAUGAGAAAUAGUUAUAGAAAUAAAUAUUGUUAAGAAACAAUUUGAAAAAUAUUAAAGUACUGGUCCCGAUAGGUCCAGGCUUACAGGUGAAAAAAAAUUUUUCACCUCAGCAGUGUUAUUUCAAAGCUCUAAGGAGUCAUUUUAUGAGUCUAAAACAACCAUUUUAUAUUAUUGGCAAAAACCAACAAUUGUUCUAAUGCCUAGUAAAUUAACUGGUAUUCCCUGUCAAAUCAAUUUGCAGCUCUCAGUACCCAGUAUCACAUACAUAAAGUUGUGUGUGUGUGUGCGCGAGCACAUGCACACACACACACAUACUGAACUUCAAAAUAGCAGUUUUCAAGCAUACAAUGAAAUGUAAGAAGAAGAUUGUAAUGAAUCUUUACAGCGCAUAUUUACAGGUAGGAAGAGCAUCAAUCCUAUUUGUCCAUGUUUGUGUUUUACAGUGAUACAGUAUUAAUUCAAAAUGAUCCUGUGUUCAUCUGCAUUGCUUCACCUGUUUGAUUAUGCCAGUAAAUAUUUGUUUAGCAACUACAACUAAUGAACUAACUUCACCCUUAAAUCGUUGCCACAAAUGUCUUCAUUACAAACCAAAUUGCUGCCAUUUGGUUUUGGAAUAUUUUAAUACAACCUCAGACUGAAACAAUAAAAUCUCUGGACUGCA